rnacentral:rRNA from 1 species
GAUGAACGCUAGCGGCAGGCCUAAUACAUGCAAGUCGAACGGGAUUAAGAGGCUUGCUUCUUAUGAAAGUGGCGCACGGGUGCGUAACGCGUAUGCAACCUACCUUAAUCAGGGGGAUAGCCCGAAGAAAUUCGGAUUAAGACCGCAUAAAAACACAGGAUAGCAUUAUCCAAUGUUCAAAUAUUUAUAGGAUUAAGAUGGGCAUGCGUGUCAUUAGCUAGUUGGCGGGGUAACGGCCCACCAAGGCGACGAUGACUAGGGGAUCUGAGAGGAUGACCCCCCACACUGGUACUGAGACACGGACCAGACUCCUACGGGAGGCAGCAGUAAGGAAGAUUGGUCAAUGGAGGGAACUCUGAACCAGCCAUGCCGCGUGCAGGAAGACAGCCCUCUGGGUCGUAAACUGCUUUUAGUCGGGAAUAAACCUUUCUACGUGUAGGAAGCUGAAUGUACCGAAGGAAUAAGGAUCGGCUAACUCCGUG